GGGGUUGUGGCUCAGUGGUAGAGUACUUGCCUAGCGUGUAUGGGGCACUGGGUUCAAUUCUCAGCACCACA
rnacentral:tRNA from 1 species